ensembl:ncRNA C30C11.5 ncRNA
GGGGGGGGGGGGAGACAAGUGAAUACUGUUUCGUCAAUUUCUGGUGGUGCCAAGACGCCACGCGUUUUUGUGCCGUCUCUCUCUCUCUCUGUCCGUAAACGGACGCCUUACACUAAUUGCUCUUUCUUUUACCGUACGAAGAAGAAAACACGCACUUAUUAUAGGGUAGUGGGUCGAAAAGAAAACGGAAAA